CUCAUUUAGAGCUGCCACCCUAACCAUCCUACCAGACGAAGUUAGAACUUUCCAUUUUUCCUCUAGCACUAUUUACUUUUCCCUCUGACACUUAUUGUUUCUGUGUUACUAGUUUAAGUUCUUCAUCUCCAUUAAACUACAAUUCCAGAAGGACAGGGACUAUAUGUCUACUUUAUUUGCAAACCUGUCCCUAGGGCCUGGCACAGUCAUAGAGUAGGUAGGUGCUUUAGAAAAUUUCUGUUCAUUGAAUGAAGUAAAAAACAGAACAGCUAUAAAAUACCUAGUAUAGUCUAUUAAGAAGACACGGUACAGUGGGACCCAGUGCUGACAAUAACAUGAAAUCAUCUACUUUAAAUAAUACAGAGGAUUACAGACUACGGGCAACUGCACACAUGAAGCCAGGCUCACCCAUUUAACGGCAAACUGACCUGUUUAAAAAGGUGGUGGCCCAGCUGCAGUGUAGCAGGCAGCAGAAUGUCCUGUGCGAUGCUGGAGCAAGACACAGGGUACCCUGUGCAUGCCCGUGAUUCUGGCUGCCUGGGGGGAUGGGGAAAGGACUGCAACAA